rnacentral:hammerhead_ribozyme from 1 species
AUACUGCUGAGGAGUCCCACAACAGNAGGAGUCCCACAACAGGACGAAACGGCCGUCCAGUGC